rnacentral:rRNA from 1 species
GACGAACGCUGGCGGCAAGCCUAACACAUGCAAGUCGAACGAGUGGCGGACGGGUGAGUAAUGUCUGGGAAACUGCCUGAUGGAGGGGGAUAACUACUGGAAACGGUAGCUAAUACCGCAUACCAUCGGAUGUGCCCAGAUGGGAUUGGCUAGUAGGUGGGGUAAAGGCUCACCUAGGCGACGAUCCCUAGCUGGUCUGAGAGGAGGACGAGCCAAACUGGAACUGAGACACGGUCCAGACUCCUACGGGAGGCAGCAGUGGGGAAUAUUGGACAAUGGGGGAAAGCCUGAGGCAGCCAGGCGGCGUGUAUGAAGAAGGCUUUCGGGUUGUAAAGUACGUUCAGCGGGGAGGCGGUACCCGCAGAAGAAGCACCGGCUAACUCCGUGCCAGCAGCCGCGGUAAUUC